rnacentral:rRNA from 1 species
AUUGAACGCUGGCGGCAUGCCUUACACAUGCAAGUCGAACGGUUACAGGUCUUUCGGGAUGCUGACGAGUGGCGAACGGGUGAGUAAUACAUCGGAACGUGCCUAGUAGUGGGGGAUAACUACUCGAAAGAGUGGCUAAUACCGCAUGAGAUCUAUGGAUGAAAGCAGGGGACCUUCGGGCCUUGUGCUACUAGAGCGGCCGAUGGCAGAUUAGGUAGUUGGUGGGAUAAAAGCUUACCAAGCCUACGAUCUGUAGCUGGUCUGAGAGGACGAUCAGCCACACUGGGACUGAGACACGGCCCAGACUCCUACGGGAGGCAGCAGUGGGGAAUUUUGGACAAUGGGCGCAAGCCUGAUCCAGCAAUGCCGCGUGCAGGAUGAAGGCCUUCGGGUUGUAAACUGCUUUUGUACGGAACGAAAAGUCUUGGGUUAAUACCCUGGGAUCAUGACGGUACCGUGAGAGUAAGCACCGGCUAACUACGUGCCAGCAGCCGCGGUAAUAC